rnacentral:vault_RNA from 1 species
GCGGCGGUUUAGCUCAGUGGUUACUUCUCACUCAAACGUGUCAUCCAGCUCUCAGACCUCCGGGCCGGAGGGUUCGACCCCGGGCGCUGCCCGCUGCCUUU